UAUAACGAAUUUUUUCGUUAUCAGCGUUUUAUGCUGACUUUCAUUCGGAGGAGUAUUACUACUUUAGAGGGAGGGGUUAUUGCGUCGUAUCAAAUCAAAGGCAUAAAAAAAGCGCCCUGAGGCGCUUUUUUGUU
rnacentral:sRNA from 1 species